rnacentral:rRNA from 1 species
GAUGAACGCUAGCGGCAGGCCUAAUACAUGCAAGUCGAGGGGUAGUGGAGCUUGCUCCACGAGACCGGCGCACGGGUGCGUAACGCGUAUGCAACCUACCUUCACCUGGGGGAUAGCCCGGAGAAAUCCGGAUUAACACCGCAUAAAACCACAGUACCGCAUGGUACAAUGGUCAAACAUUCAUGGGGCGGAGAUGGGCAUGCGUGCCAUUAGUUAGUUGGCGGGGUAACGGCCCACCAAGACCGCGAUGGCUAGGGGAUCUGAGAGGAUGGCCCCCACACUGGUACUGAGACACGGACCAGACUCCUACGGGAGGGCAGCAGUAAGGAAUAUUGGUCAAUGGGCGCAAGCCU